rnacentral:tRNA from 1 species
GCCUUAUAGUAUAUAUUAAACAAUUACAGUAAAUUGCAACUUUACUAAAGCCGACUGCUAAGGCA